CCCCCAAAAUUUUCAGGCAAGGAAUAGACGGCCCCCAGAUACAGGGGCACAUUAGGGUGGCAGAGCCAGGUAAUGCAUUAAGACUUAAAAUCCUAUUACAGGUGUUCAAAUCACCUCCCUACUA
rnacentral:tRNA from 1 species